AGGACGAACGCUGGCGGCGCGCUUAACACAUGCAAGUCGAACGGGCAGCCUUCGGGUUGUCAGUGGCGGACGGGUGCGUAACACGUAAGCGACCUGCCUUCAGGUGGGGGAUAACCCCGGGAAACCGGGGCUAAUACCGCAUGUGCUCUUGGGGCUGCAUGGCUUUGAGAGGAAAGCUCCCUUUAAAGGAGCGCUUGGAGAGGGGCUUGCGGCGUAUCAGCUAGUUGGCGAGGUAACGGCUCACCAAGGCGAUGACGC
rnacentral:rRNA from 1 species